CUGAGUACGGCGGAACACGUGAAAUUCCGUCGGAAUCCGGGAGGACCAUCUCCCAAGGCUAAAUACUCCCUAGUGACCGAUAGUGAACCAGUACCGUGAGGGAAAGGUGAAAAGCACCCCGGAAGGGGAGUGAAACAGUUCCUGAAACCGUGUGCCUACAAGUAGUUAGAGCCCGUUAAUGGGUGAUAGCGUGCCUUUUGUAGAAUGAACCGGCGAGUUACGAUUUGUUGCAAGGUUAAGCGGAAAAAGCGGAGCCGUAGCGAAAGCGAGUCUGAAUAGGGCGCAUAAGUAACAGGUCGUAGACCCGAAACCAGGUGAUCUACCCAUGUCCAGGAUGAAGGUAAGGUAAUACUUACUGGAGGUCCGAACCCACGCACGUUGAAAAGUGCGGGGAUGAGGUGUGGGUAGCGGAGAAAUUCCAAUCGAACUUGGAGAUAGCUGGUUCUCUCCGAAAUAGCUUUAGGGCUAGCCUCGAGGUAAAGAGUCAUGGAGGUAGAGCACUGUUUGGACUAGGGGCCCUUCUCGGGUUACCGAAUUCAGAUAAACUCCGAAUGCCAUGUACUUAUACUCGGGAGUCAGACUGCGAGUGAUAAGAUCCGUAGUCGAAAGGGAAACAGCCCAGACCACCAGUUAAGGUCCCCAAAUAUAUGUUAAGUGGAAAAGGAUGUGGGGUUGCUUAGACAACCAGGAUGUUGGCUUAGAAGCAGCCACCAUUGAAAGAGUGCGUAAUAGCUCACUGGUCGAGUGACCCCGCGCCGAAAAUGUACCGGGGCUAAACAUAUUACCGAAACUGUGGAUGAACCUCUUUAGAGGUUCGUGGUAGGAGAGCGUUCUAAGGGCGGUGAAGUCAGACCGGAAGGACUGGUGGAGCGCUUAGAAGUGAGAAUGCCGGUAUGAGUAGCGAAAGAAGGGUGAGAAUCCCUUCCACCGAAUAUCUAAGGUUUCCUGAGGAAGGCUCGUCCGCUCAGGGUUAGUCGGGACCUAAGCCGAGGCCGAUAGGCGUAGGCGAUGGACAACAGGUAGAGAUUCCUGUACCAGUGCUAAUUGUUUAACCGAUGGGGUGACACAGAAGGAUAGGGAAUCGCACGAAUGGAAAUGUGCGUCCAAGCAGUGAGUGUGAGAAGUAGGCAAAUCCGCUUCUCGCGAAGCAUGAGCUGUGAUGGGGAAGGAAAUUAAGUACGGAAGUUCCUGAUUUCACGCUGUCAAGAAAAGCCUCUAGGAAGAGUAGUACUGCCCGUACCGCAAACCGACACAGGUAGAUGAGGAGAGAAUCCUAAGGUGAGCGAGAGAACUCUCGUUAAGGAACUCGGCAAAAUGACCCCGUAACUUCGGGAGAAGGGGUGCUCUAUUAGGGUGCAAGCCCGAGAGAGCCGCAGUGAAUAGGCCCAGGCGACUGUUUAGCAAAAACACAGGUCUCUGCAAAACCGUAAGGUGACGUAUAGGGGCUGACGCCUGCCCGGUGCUGGAAGGUUAAGAGGAGUGCUUAGCUUCGGCGAAGGUACGAAUUGAAGCCCCAGUAAACGGCGGCCGUAACU
rnacentral:rRNA from 1 species